UUCUUUCUUUCUUUCUUUCUUUUUUAAUACAGGGUCAAGCUGGAGUGCAGUGGCCCAAUCCUGGCUCACUGCAACCUCUGCCUCCUGGGCUCAAGGCAUCCUUCCACCUCAGCCUCCCAAGUAGCUGGGACUACAGGAGAGAAGACAAUGAGGUCAGCUAGAAUGAUGGAUUGUCAUCACUGGGGCACGGGAAAGGGGUUGAGCAAGUCAAUGUAUGUUUUCCAGAGCCUACAGAAUGUGUCUGAUUCUCUGAAGUAUAUUUUUUCUAAAUGCCAGAUUCAAGCAUUAAGCACUGUGCAGUUUUGAGAGAAGAAGUUAUAAAGCAAAACUGACUUGAGUAACCACCAGCCCAACAUUCGGGACUUUGUGGGGAUUGCUAUGGCUCUGCCGGACUUACAAGCAAUAGUGAUGCAGAACCUGUCAUUAGCAUGUGUAAUGCUUGUCAAAAAAUAAUCUCCCAAGAAAUGUUUUAAUUUUCACUGGUCAGUGCACUACCAAUACUAGUUUUGGCAUGGCGGAU
rnacentral:lncRNA from 10 species